rnacentral:rRNA from 1 species
GAUGAACGCUAGCGGCAGGCCUAACACAUGCAAGUCGAGGGAUAAGCCUUCGGGCUAAGACCGGCGCACGGGUGCGUAACGCGUAUACAAUCUGCCUUUUAUCCGGGGGAUAGCUCGAAGAAAUUUGGAUUAAUACCCUAUGGUAUAAGAUCACGGCAUCGUGCACUUAUUAAAGCUACGGCGGUAAAAGAUUAGUAUGCGUUCUAUUAGCUAGUUGGAGAGGUAACGGCUCCCCAAGGCGACGAUAGAUAGGGGUUCUGAGAGGGAUGUCCCCCACACUGGUACUGGGAUACGGACCAGACUCCUACGGGAGGCAGCAGUGAGGAAUAUUGGACAAUGGUCGGAAGACUGAUCCAGCCAUGCCGCGUGCAGGAUGACGGCAUUAUGGGUUGUAAGCUGCUUUUGUAAGGGAAGAAUAAGGAGUACGUGUACUUUGAUGACGGUACCUUACGAAUAAGCAUCGGCUAACUCCGUG